UCGGAUGCAGUUUCAUAUCAAGAUUUCUUCUCUCGUUGCCUUAGUUGUCCUAUCAGCUUCUUUGGUCCUCUUUGAGGCGAACUCCCUCCCCCCUCUAAAGCUAUUCAAAUGGCACACUGCAGGAUUAUCCCUCAGCCUCUGCGAUAUGCUGGUUUGGUCAGACUUAAAGUCCGCUCUAGGUUUGCUUUGGCUACAGAGACUGAAACUGUGGGGGGAAAAAAUGAUCAGAUUAAUUUGAAGUCAAAAAGAGAGAGUUGGAUUGCUAAUUUUUACAUCCUUGAGGAAGCUGUUUGAGGAUUUUAUUUACUUCAUUUCGUUUAAUAAUGGAGCCAACAGUGCCUCUGCAAUCACAACAGGCUCUUAGCAGACUUAGAAGAUUUAAGAUUACAAAAGGGAUUGCUUUGUCAGCAAGGAUUUUGGACAGUGGGCGGAUUGUUAGAAGGAUCCAAAUGUUUUUUGGGCCAGAACAGCUGUUAUUUAAAUAUUUCAUACCUGGAUUAAGCGCAAUGUCUUUUUUUUUUUUUUUUUUUACAAACCCCAAUGGACUACUAAGUCGUAUUCUGUUUUUACGAGGACUUCUUCACCCACCAGGAAAUGUCUAGGGGAAUGUGAGGUGUUUUCACAGUCACUGAGGUGUAUUGACCUCAAUAAGAGCAGAAUAAACCCCUAUGUCUCUUGGGUCAGACAGCAACCUCCCACAAUAGACCAAAACUGUGACUUUUCAGUGAAGUAUUUUUCUCUUGGCUCGAUAAGCCAAGGCCAUGCUGUCCUUAAACAGGAAGCCACUUGUCCUCUCUUUACAAAUUCUCACAAACAGUAAAGAGUCAUAGGCAAAACUAGAAAUGUCUUCUUUUUUUUUCAUUCAAGUUUAAAUCAGCUAGAUAAUGCGUGUGGAAACAUCAAAAAGCAAGAAAUGUGUUCAAAGUUCCUUUUCCAAACACCAGCAUUGUGUUAAACAGCCCGGAUUGUGUGAAUUUUAUCCUAUACAAAGCUUAUAUUUGGAUUCAGGCUUUGUGCCAGAGCCUAACCGGCUUUGAUGUUAAUAGGUAUUGUUGUCACGAAUGCUGGAGCUUAUUGGACGCCUUGGCUGAUGGACAAGUAGAUGAACCACUGAUGGUAGCCAGGAUUAAGAACUGAGACUUUGCGCCUGCUUAACUUUUUUGAUGCAUGAGGCUGGAUUGCAUCAUUUAUUUGGCAGCCACAUUUGCUGGUUCUCCCUUUCCCCCUCGCUGUUAGGGCACUGCAAAAAAGAGUGGCAACUUUGGGGGUCUUGAAGUCUCCAUAACAACCAUGUAUGUAUGUAUGUAUGCACCAUGUAUAUGUCAAUCAGUUUACAGGGAUUGGUGCAUCCUGUCCUGCAAUCACGAAUGUAAACAUGCAGACGUUGCUGAACUAUGUUCAGACUUUAACUGAAAUGUGCUUUGUUCAGAUAAGACUAAGACUGUGUUGUUUUGGAAACAAACAGUAACUGAUAGGCAGACUCAAAAUCAACGUUCUUUAAUUGGGAUCUCAGCCCCCUGACAUAAAUACAGUUUGAGGAAAGGAAAUCAUAAGAGGAUUCUGGAUCCAAAAUUUCUCUCUUUGUAUGCUUCAUUUCUAUGAGACUGUAUUUGACAUGAGUUGGUGUUGUCCUGCAGGCAAUAGGAGUUUGCACAAAGUAUUUUCCACAGAGCUAUUGGGAGCUUUGUUUUUCUCCCCUCAGUGAAUAAUUGUGCUCAACUUCAAGGUUGCACUUUUCUAAAAGUGUCUGUGGGAAAUUGUAGUACUGCAAUAGACAUCUCACUCUAAUGCUAUUUUAAGUGUUAAAACACAUAUUUACUAAGGAUGACAACAAAUUUGUCUGUGUCUGUAAAUUACCAUAAUUUAGAAGCACAAGAUUUAAAUGCAUAAGACUAAAUUAAUGCAAAAUACUGAGCGGUGAAUGAACAUUUUACACACUAAUUUGAUAACAUUUCUGGAAAAAAAGAAAAAAGAAAGUUCUAUAUUAUUCAUGUAUGUAUUUUAAGUUGCAUAUAUUUUUCCUUACAAUACUAAUCACUGUGGUUUUAGGCCUACAUAUGUUGACUCCUUACUGCAUUAUCACAUUCAGUAGGAAGAAUGUGGUGUGGGUGUAAAAUAAAAUGUUCUUAUAUAGCCCCUGGACUUUUUACCUGCACUGAUGUUUUGAUGAUACGCAACGUUCCUGACAUUACAGGGAGCUACAGUAAGAGUCGCGUAAGCAGAAGAAGGAAGACCGAAAAGAGAUGAAAGAGUUUCUCAGAAAAUGAUUAAAAAAAAUCCUUUCCUGGCACUUCCACUGUGAACUGAACAGCACAAAUUGGUUCUGAUUCAUACCCGCACAGUAAAACCUCAGAGUCAUGAAAUGCUGCUGUGGUGAUUUGAACCAGCCCAUAGUGCACUCUUGAUGAUAGCCAGUGAAGAAAAGCCAUGGAUGAUCAGAGGCUCACAGGCUGGUGUGAGUGCUGGUGAUAGUAACCAAGGGCGUGAUAAAAACACAGCUCUGCUAAAUCAGUGUUCUGUAGAAACCCCUGACUGAGGCGGACUUCAUUGCCCGCUCUGCUGCUGCAACUUAAAACAAUCACAAAUGGGUGCAAAAUGUUCCCACGAUGAUGUUUUGAAGCCUGCGAAAAAUACUGUGCAGAUUCCAAAAUUUUCCGCUAAAUAUACUUGCCCCGUUGACAUCACGCUGUUAUCUCAAGCCCAAUUCUUCUUACACGGACAAUUAUGCUGUCAUUUGUCCACAAAGGAAGUUUGGUUCAAACGAGCCAAAUGUGGGGAAGCAGUUUUCUGGUGACUCACUCCAGGGGUGAAGGAUGUUACAGGAAGGAGUUGUACGUAAAAGGGGAUGAAGGUUGAAGGAUGAAGCAAAGUGCGUUGGCGCUCUGUAAAGACCUGACAAAAUCUGUACAUCAUCUUUAGAUGUUCUUAUUCACAUUUAUGUAUGAGAAGUUUCCAGUGAAUAAAUAUUUCUGUUGUGUUUUAAACUUUA